ensembl:lncRNA
UCAGGUAGAGUCUGGCCUCAGCAGUGAGCCGUCCUUCAGUGACGAAAUUGGUCACCAUCAGUUUACAACACCCAGCCUCACGCCGUACCACGUCAGAAUGACAGAGGAGUCCUGCGGUUUCUCAGAUGAAUCUGAUAAGGAAGUUGCUUUCGAAGAGACAGCUGAAGAAGAAGAUGUGCAACAGCCACAUGGUCCAAUUGAGGCAUGGGUAAAGACGGAGUGCAUAGGUAAAGAGGUAGAGCAUGUACAAGAGGAGACUUCAGAUUCUGAGACCGAGGCGAUGCUUGAACCAACCUUUGAAUCCAGGCCAAGCAGUCCAGAUUCUGAAUGUGAGCCUGAGGAAAGUGUCUUUAAUCAAGUGACAGAUUACAACUUUGAUGAAAACGUCUCAAAUGAUUACAUAACUGAGAUGAGUCAAGAGGUAAGCUGUUCUGCAGUGGGAACAAAUGAAACAGAUGCUGAGGAUAAGUUGUACCCUGAUGGAGAAGAGAUGGACACUUGGGACAGUGUAAUAGAAAAGAGGAUUGUUGUGAAGACAGAUGAUGGCAUUGAAAAUAAUGAGGGAAAAACACAACAUGCUGAACCAGAAGAAGACAUAUCAACAAAAGAACCAGAGCAAAAGAAGAAAGAAAUUAGGCAGGAUGUUUUUAGGGAUGUCGAUAAAGACGACAAUGUGGCCUCUUCAUUGGUGGACAAGCAAGUAGAUGACAGACAGCAUAUUGAGUUAGAGCAAGAGCAUGCUCUGCCUGCUGACGGUGAAGAAGAUGAUGAAGAGGAUUCUCAAAACGUCUCUGUGUCAUGGAGGACUGAGCUGGAGAGUGACAGCUACGCUCAGGAUAACACGCUUGCUGACACCCGUCCUCUGAUUCGAUACAAAAGUGAUGAGACUGACGCUAAUACUCAGGCAUCGCACAUGGAAGAGAGCGAGUCCAGUGAAGGUGAACAGGAAAGAAAGGUCGGAGAGACAGGAACUGGGACGUGGAGUGAGGACAAGGCAAAGAGAUUUGGAACUAUGGAAGAUCUGUGUGAGGAGGUUGAAGGGGAGAUGAUGGAUGAGGUAUAUAAUAUGGGAUACACUCAUAUUGAAGACAGAGAUGGUACAAUUAUAAAUGAGCAUGAUGAUGAUGCAGAAAAUGCAGAAGAGAUGAUCAAGAAAGUCAGUGAGGGACAUUCAGAUGGAGAAACUGAUGAAUUUACCAAACCCACGGUACGUGCAAAUGUAGACUUUGAUGAGGAGCUGGAGAUAGACAGACUUGUGGAGCAGGAAUUAGAAAAUCUGUCCACGGACAGCUACAGUGUUCACUUUGGACAGCAUCAGGUCAGUGAGGAGAUGGUGCAUCUGAAGGGGAACACUGUCGAGGAAAUGACAGAGCAAGAAGAGCCUGGAAAAACAAAAACAGGGGACACGUCUUACGGUGACGAAACUGGAAUAAAGGCAAACCAUGAACUUAAAUCUUCUGUUAUGGUGACAGAUCAGACUUCUGAGAACCUAUUUAUCAGUGAUUCAUCAGUGGUAACAGACACAGCAGCUGAGGAAGACAUCUACCAUAAAGAUCCACAAGCUCUAGAUGCACCGGAGAAAAAAGAGGAAGAUGAUGAACACAAUGUGUCCAUGUUGACACAUGCUGAUGGAACAGAAGAUCACUCUGGCUUGGGUGACUUCAUCAACAGGCCUGAUGUGGAAGAAAACAGCAACUCAGAGGAUUUAAUCUCAGUGUUACUGGUAACAGCAGUUGUUCAAAUGUUUCAGUCUUUCGGUGUGCAUGCUAUGAAAGAAGACUUUGAGUUUCUGCAUGAGGGAACGGCAUGAAGACAGAACAAAGAAUGUCAUUUGAAAGUCAAAGCCUUUAUCGAUCUUUGCCUAAUCUGAUUUUACUAACGGAAGGAAAUCAAUGAGACCAGAGAGGUAGAACUGCUUGUAGACCUACUAUUUUAUAGUGCACCAAACAGACAGCAAAUGUUUCUGCUAUUGAGUUAUUUCACUAGACAAACUGACUCAUCUUUGCAUGUUUUAUGCAUGUUGAACAAUUGCUUGGUUGCAAAUGUUUUAUGUCAGAGGAGAUAAAUCAGCAUAGAUAAGAAAGCUGUUAUGUUUGUAUGUGGUUGGCCUGUAAAAU